rnacentral:rRNA from 2 species
UUAAGCGACUAAGCGUACACGGUGGAUGCCCUGGCAGUCAGAGGCGAUGAAGGGCGUGCUAAUCUGCGAUAAGCGCCGGUAAGGUGAUAUGAACCGUUAUAACCGGCGAUACCCGAAUGGGGAAACCCAGUGUGAUUCGUCACACUAUCAUUAACUGAAUCCAUAGGUUAAUGAGGCGAACCGGGGGAACUGAAACAUCUAAGUACCCCGAGGAAAAGAAAUCAACCGAGAUUCCCCCAGUAGCGGCGAGCGAACGGGGAGGAGCCCAGAGCCUGAAUCAGCAUGUGUGUUAGUGGAAGCGUCUGGAAAGGUGCGCGAUACAGGGUGACAGCCCCGUACACAAAAGCGCAUGUGCUGUGAGCUCGAUGAGUAGGGCGGGACACGUGGUAUCCUGUCUGAAUAUGGGGGGACCAUCCUCCAAGGCUAAAUACUCCUGACUGACCGAUAGUGAACCAGUACCGUGAGGGAAAGGCGAAAAGAACCCCGGCGAGGGGAGUGAAAAAGAACCUGAAACCGUGUACGUACAAGCAGUGGGAGCACAGGUUUACCUGUGUGACUGCGUACCUUUUGUAUAAUGGGUCAGCGACUUAUAUUCUGUAGCAAGGUUAACCGUAUAGGGGAGCCGGAGGGAAACCGAGUCUUAACCGGGCGUUAAGUUGCAGGGUAUAGACCCGAAACCCGGUGAUCUAGCCAUGGGCAGGUUGAAGGUUGGGUAACACUAACUGGAGGACCGAACCGACUAAUGUUGAAAAAUUAGCGGAUGACCUGUGGCUGGGGGUGAAAGGCCAAUCAAACCGGGAGAUAGCUGGUUCUCCCCGAAAGCUAUUUAGGUAGCGCCUCGUGAAUUCAUCUCCGGGGGUAGAGCACUGUUUCGGCUAGGGGGCCAUCCCGGCUUACCAACCCGAUGCAAACUGCGAAUACCGGAGAAUGUUAUCACGGGAGACACACGGCGGGUGCUAACGUCCGUCGUGAAGAGGGAAACAACCCAGACCGCCAGCUAAGGUCCCAAAGUCAUGGUUAAGUGGGAAACGAUGUGGGAAGGCCCAGACAGCCAGGAUGUUGGCUUAGAAGCAGCCAUCAUUUAAAGAAAGCGUAAUAGCUCACUGGUCGAGUCGGCCUGCGCGGAAGAUGUAACGGGGCUAAACCAUGCACCGAAGCUGCGGCAGCGAACGUAUCACCCAAGACAACUUUACGGAGUUGACGAUUGACGGAGCGAAGCGACGUCAAAGCGUUCAUUAAAGUCGAGUUGGCUUAGGGAUACGUUCGUUGGGUAGGGGAGCGUUCUGUAAGCCUGUGAAGGUGUGUCGUGAGGCAUGCUGGAGGUAUCAGAAGUGCGAAUGCUGACAUAAGUAACGAUAAAGCGGGUGAAAAGCCCGCUCGCCGGAAGACCAAGGGUUCCUGUCCAACGUUAAUCGGGGCAGGGUGAGUCGACCCCUAAGGCGAGGCCGAAAGGCGUAGUCGAUGGGAAACGGGUUAAUAUUCCCGUACUUGGUGUUACUGCGAAGGGGGGACGGAGAAGGCUAUGUUGGCCGGGCGACGGUUGUCCCGGUUUAAGCGUGUAGGUGUGUGUUCCAGGUAAAUCCGGUUCACUUUAACACUGAGGCGUGACGACGAGGCACUACGGUGCUGAAGCAACAAAUGCCCUGCUUCCAGGAAAAGCCUCUAAGCAUCAGGUAACACGAAAUCGUACCCCAAACCGACACAGGUGGUCAGGUAGAGAAUACCAAGGCGCUUGAGAGAACUCGGGUGAAGGAACUAGGCAAAAUGGUGCCGUAACUUCGGGAGAAGGCACGCUGACACGUAGGUGAAGUGAUUUACUCAUGGAGCUGAAGUCAGUCGAAGAUACCAGCUGGCUGCAACUGUUUAUUAAAAACACAGCACUGUGCAAACACGAAAGUGGACGUAUACGGUGUGACGCCUGCCCGGUGCCGGAAGGUUAAUUGAUGGGGUCAGCGUAAGCGAAGCUCCUGAUCGAAGCCCCGGUAAACGGCGGCCGUAACUAUAACGGUCCUAAGGUAGCGAAAUUCCUUGUCGGGUAAGUUCCGACCUGCACGAAUGGCGUAAUGAUGGCCAGGCUGUCUCCACCCGAGACUCAGUGAAAUUGAACUCGCUGUGAAGAUGCAGUGUACCCGCGGCAAGACGGAAAGACCCCGUGAACCUUUACUAUAGCUUGACACUGAACAUUGAGCCUUGAUGUGUAGGAUAGGUGGGAGGCUUUGAAGUGUGGACGCCAGUCUGCAUGGAGCCGACCUUGAAAUACCACCCUUUAAUGUUUGAUGUUCUAACGUGGACCCGUAAUCCGGGUUGCGGACAGUGUCUGGUGGGUAGUUUGACUGGGGCGGUCUCCUCCUAAAGAGUAACGGAGGAGCACGAAGGUUGGCUAAUCCUGGUCGGACAUCAGGAGGUUAGUGCAAUGGCAUAAGCCAGCUUGACUGCGAGCGUGACGGCGCGAGCAGGUGCGAAAGCAGGUCAUAGUGAUCCGGUGGUUCUGAAUGGAAGGGCCAUCGCUCAACGGAUAAAAGGUACUCCGGGGAUAACAGGCUGAUACCGCCCAAGAGUUCAUAUCGACGGCGGUGUUUGGCACCUCGAUGUCGGCUCAUCACAUCCUGGGGCUGAAGUAGGUCCCAAGGGUAUGGCUGUUCGCCAUUUAAAGUGGUACGCGAGCUGGGUUUAGAACGUCGUGAGACAGUUCGGUCCCUAUCUGCCGUGGGCGCUGGAGAACUGAGGGGGGCUGCUCCUAGUACGAGAGGACCGGAGUGGACGCAUCACUGGUGUUCGGGUUGUCAUGCCAAUGGCACUGCCCGGUAGCUAAAUGCGGAAGAGAUAAGUGCUGAAAGCAUCUAAGCACGAAACUUGCCCCGAGAUGAGUUCUCCCUGAGACUUAGAGUCUCCUGAAGGAACGUUGAAGACGACGACGUUGAUAGGCCGGGUGUGUAAGCGCAGCGAUGCGUUGAGCUAACCGGUACUAAUGAACCGUGAGGCUUAACCUU